CCGCAACCCCUCCACCCACCCCUCCACAUACCGCAACCCUCCUUCCACUCACCACAAGCCCUCCACCCAUCCCUCCAAGUACUACAACCCCUCCACCCACCGAAACCCUUCCACCCCUCCCUCCUUGUACCGCAACCCCUCCACCCACCCCUCCAAGUACUGCAACCCCUCCACCCAACCCUCCAAGUACCGCAACCCCUCCACCCAACCCUCCAAGCACCGCAACCUCUCAACCCAUCACAACCCUGACAACCACCAUAAUCACGUGCCCUCGAGUUUACGUGCCAAUCUGUGACAAUUUUUCGAGCAUUGUGUCAGUCUACGAUGACAACGGGUGCGAGUUUUUGUAUUGUGACCCCAUUCAACCUCCACUUCCCCCUGCCAGCCCCACACCCACGCCCCCUGCCUGAGUCUAUACCUGGCACAGACUUGGUUAUCAGAAAAUACCUCCUCUGACUCAAGACGUCCGAUUCCCAGACAAUAAUGUUCACCCGUCACCGAAGAAGUGUAACCUCAGGAUGCCUGGGGAAGAGCAGCAGUCAAUAACUUUUAAAAAAUCAAUAAAACAAAUUAAUAUGUCUUGAAUUACUUUAAUAUAAUAUAAUUAAGAUGUAUAAUCUUUAGUUGACUGAUUUGCUUUGCUUUCAAUAUGUAUUUUCUUUUUCAUGAUAGUUAUUCUAUAUAUUCCGACUGUUUGUUUUAUUGAUCACGAAAACUAAACAAAAAAAAUAAUGUUAUGUCGUCUGAGAAAGUUAAU